rnacentral:rRNA from 1 species
CCUACGGGAGGCAGCAGUGAGGAAUAUUGGUCAAUGGACGGAAGUCUGAACCAGCCAUGCCGCGUGCAGGAUGACGGCUCGAUGAGUUGUAAACUGCGGUUGUAGUAGGGUAAACACCCCUACGUGUAGGGGCUUGAAAGUAUAAUACGAAUAAGGAUCGGCUAACUCCGUGCCAGCAGCCGCGGUAAUACGGAGGAUCCAAGCGUUAUCCGGAUUGAUUGGGGUUAAAGGGUGCGUAGGCGGUUUGCUAAGUUAGAGGUGAAAUACCGGUGCUCAACACCGGAACUGCCUCUCAUACUGUUGAACUAGAGCGUAGUUGCGGUAGGCGGAAUGUCUGGUGUAGCGGUGCACUGCUU